AAAUAUUGAAACUAGGCCACCAACAAGAGCUCUCAAAAGAGCCCUUCUGACUGCUCUGAGAUGUGUUGAUCCAGAUUCUGACAAGAGACCAAAGAUGAGCCAAGUUGUUCGUAUGCUUGAAUCAGAGGAAUAUCCCAUACCAAGAGAGGAUCGAAGGCAACGAAGAUCUCAAGCAGGUAACGGGGAGAGUGAUUCUCAAAACUAUGACACUGACAAGAGUGACAACCCAGAUCCAAGGUCUGAAAGUAGAAGAAGCCAUCAAGUAUAACCAUCAAAGACACAUCUUUCUGGUCUUUCAUGAGAAGUGUGCCAUAACAAAGCUUUCAUUAUAAUGAAAGUCUACGGGAUCAAAUGAGUAGGACGAU
rnacentral:misc_RNA from 1 species